AAAAAAUUAUGUCAAGCAAUGAUCAAUGAUUUUUUUACAUAAUAGGAAUUAAUAAACAAUGAAUUAAACCUGCUCGAAUGCUAAGAUGUUUCUAACACCAUCAGGUUAGAAAAGGAUAAUGUAAUCAUUUUUAAACACAUCAUGAUGGCUCCAUGUCCAGGUAAAUCUUUGUGGCAGCAACAAUAUAGUAGAGGCAACAGAAAAUAAAAGAAAAAGGUUGUUCCUCCUUUGAUGUUCGUCAUGGUUCCGAGGAACAUUUCCAUCCCAAGAAAGACAUCACAAACGAACGUUAGUUAGCAAUGGAACAUAAAUGUAUUGAAUACAGGAUGAGGCUUAGGAUGAUCAAUUGACUGGAAAAAAAUUCAAAGUCAUUGUGUCAUUCAUACAUGGAGGAAACAUUGUUCGUUUAUUUUGAAAGAUGUAUCGACAAUAAACAGAGAAUGGCUCAAGAAGUCUGAGCCGUUGCCUAAAGUGUUGUGUCAAGAAAAUGACUAACCGAUACUGCAUAUGUUGAAAGCAAGAGCCAAAAGACCGUGGUCAAAUAUUGAAUUAUAUUAUGAUCAAGUAAAUGCUACAUGUUCCACAUAGCAAAUAGGUCCAAUUAUUAAAAAAAAUAACAAAGCAUACAUAAUGUGGCGAAGAACCUGAAACAAUUACAAUUUUAAACUUCUAUACAGGUGCUUAAGAAAACCUUGGCUAAAGAUUUUGUGUCGAGGAAACACUUCAAAUUGUUCCAGAUCAACUUGAACACACUGCCCACAUACACAACAAAAAUAUGAUGCAAGGUCUGCAAUUUUAAAUUAAAAUUAUUACUGCACUACACCAUAAUACUUCUUUUAAACUAUUGUCAUUUUCUGAACUUAUCACUUCCUCAUAUGAUAAUAAUGGUAAAAUCAUAUAAUUAUAUUUCUCUACAUUAGUAAUCUAACACCAAGAAAAUAAAUAAGCAACCAUAAUCAUUUGUCCAAACCACCAUUUCUCUUAUAAUUUUGUAGAAAAGGGCGAAGUUUAGUUCAGGAACAGAAAUAAGAAAGAUAACAAGAUAUACUAAAAUAUAGGAAUUUAACUGUUUGUCAAAUCAUGAGUUAUGUGCUACUAUCAAAUCUUGAGUUCCACACGAGUGAGACACAUCAUGGCUAAGCAUUCAAAAGGAAAUAACAAGAAAAUCAUUAGAUGAACAAAAAUGGAACAAAUUACGAAUUACUAUAGUGAGUUACAAUUUCAGUACACACACAUACGCAAGACAUUUAUUCCCUGAGUAGGGAAUGCAUAUGAAUGAAAAGUACUUAAAGCUAGUUAUUUUCAGUUUAGGCUUCUCCAGAAAGACAGACUAAAAUCACUUGAUCUGUACAUGGGCAAUAGCUUCUUUCCUUUACUGUUGCAUGCUUCUUUUUAUUAACCCAGUCAAGCAAGCACACUAACAAACGAUUUUGUAUGAAUAUCCUCAAAGCAUUCUACACAAGCGGGUUCAUCUGUCAACAUGUUUUCUUUUGGUCUUGGAAGUGACUAUCUAAAAAGUUCUGUUCAAAAGGGGUUCCUACAAAAUUUAAAAAUCCGAAGCCUUUUACAAAGUAAGUUGAUAACUUCCAGCUAACCUUGAUAGGUGCAUGCAUCUUGUUAUUGGAGGACGCAAAGCCAGGUGAACCUUGGUCGAGAAUCUCAUCGGCGUUCAUGGCGGGCUCAACUUUUGCCUGGGCUGCAUGCAAUCAGAGGAAUCGAACUCGGUGGCAAGAGAAAAGAAUCACAGGAAAUAAGUGUGGCUUGAGGCACCAACCUUUCGUGCGAUGGUGUCCCCUCCGAUGUCCCCGUUGAAGGCUCGACAUUGGGUAGAAGGCGAUAGUAGUUAUUAGGUCAGACUUGUCUUGAACUUAUCCUGUCAAAAAAACAACAGUGCAGCUUUACAUCACUGAAUACACGAAAAGUACACAUGGUGCAGCUUUACAUCACUGAUUCAACAGCUCACGCAUUCAAACACAUACUACUAAGAAACAUCCUUACAUACCAUAUUGGGCAAAUGAGAAUAUUAAGUAUGAUGGCAACUAAUUAUAAUUCAACCACUAAACCUUAAAAUGAUAUUAAGUACACAUGUGUCCCUUGGGUUUCUUGCUUCGCUCAUGAAGAAUACACUGAAGCAUGAUUUAGCCACACAUGUAUCCCUUGAUAUGCAUUGCCCGGCCCAAGCGCAAGAUCCAAAAUAGUAUUGUAGCUCACAUCUCGACAUAUCAAAUUUUGCAGAAAGGAAUAGGCCAAAAGUCACGCAGUUUGAUAGAUAAGAAUUAGAGCAAGUCAUUUAUAUAGAAAACAACAUGCCCCACAGGUCUUCCAUAAUAAUUAGAUCAAGUCAUGUGUAUAGAUAGAGACCAGAGGCUUGAGUAAUUCAUUAGAGAGUAGCCAGAUAGUACAAAAUACAUAUCCCAAUGCUCCGGACAGAAGUAUAGAAAAGCACAGUGGCAAUGAUUGUGUUAUGCGAUACAUCCUUCGAUGGUAAAUGGCUCUAGGAAUUCAAAGGACGCUGGUAUCCACCUGACUUUCAGUCUGAGAGCUUCCCAGACCGAACGAAAGGUCCGGUGUCGAGCUUUUCCCGAACAAACAAUUUUGUUCUAUAGGAAUCACCCUGCAGCCCGAACACCUCACGCCAGGAAGGACCUUUCUAGGUCUCCUGGCCCAAAACAAAAACAAAAACAGAAAACUAACAAAAAAGCGCAUACGCAGUGAGUAUUUUGCAAUGUAGUGUACAGUAAUAAAUGCCAAUCUUAUACUAAAACCAAUUUGAAAACCUAUAAUACAAUACCUUUGGGCAAAUGAGAAUGUUAAGUAUGAUGGCAACUAAUUAUAAUUCAGCCACUAAACGUUAAGAUGAUAUUAACUACACAUGUAUCCCUUUGGGUUUCUUACAUGGCUUGUGAAGAAUACACUUUUCACAAAUAUAAUCCUUUUACUGGUUACUCCCAAUCUAAAGUCAAUGGUUAAAUUACUGUGUAUCGCCAUCAAGCGAGCAUACAUGGUUCAUAAUUUCAUAUAUAAAUAUCUACUCACAUAAACUAAAUCAAGCUAGCAUACACAGUUCAUCUUCAAAUAGGAUUCAUCUCCUGGGCUCUUGUUACCCAAAUCCAACCAGAGAUCCUCACAGAAGAGGAGGGGGGAGUGGUAGAAGAGCAAGAGAAGCUUACUUGCAAGUAGAAGCAAGAGUGCAGGGAGCGCAAGCGCUAGACAUGUCGUCACAAGAACCAUUACGACCCCUGAUCCAGAUCCCCUGCUUCGCCGUAUGA
rnacentral:lncRNA from 1 species